rnacentral:rRNA from 1 species
ACUCCUACGGGAGGCAGCAGUGGGGAAUAUUGGACAAUGGACCAAAAGUCUGAUCCAGCAAUUCUGUGUGCACGAUGACGUUUUUCGGAAUGUAAAGUGCUUUCAGUUGGGAAGAAAAAAAUGACGGUACCAACAGAAGAAGUGACGGCUAAAUACGUGCCAGCAGCCGCGGUAAUACGUAUGUCACAAGCGUUAUCCGGAUUUAUUGGGCGUAAAGCGCGUCUAGGUGGUUAUGUAAGUCUGAUGUGAAAAUGCAGGGCUCAACUCUGUAUUGCGUUGGAAACUGCAUGACUAGAGUACUGGAGAGGUAAGCGGAACUACAAGUGUAGAGGUGAAAUUCGUAGAUAUUUGUAGGAAUGCCGAUGGGGAAGCCAGCUUACUGGACAGAUACUGACGCUAAAGCGCGAAAGCGUGGGUAGCAAACAGGAUUAGAAACCCCGGUAGUCCAGAAGUG